UGAUAUCUGGAGGCGCAGAGGAUGGGGGUGAGAAGAGGGAAGCCUCUUUCUCUCUCUGUUACCUCCACCUCCUCAUUACCAUUCCCCAUCCUACUCUGGUGGAGAAGGAAAUGGCAACCCACUCCAGUAUUCUUGCCUGAAGAAUUCCAUGGACAGUGGAGCCUGGCAGGCUACAGUCCAUGGGAUCGCAAAGAGUCAGACACGACUUAGUAACUAACACACACACACACACACACACCCCCAGGUCACUGUCGUCUCUCCCAAACGAUGGGAUCACAAAGAGUCAGACACGACUUAGCAACUAACACACACACACACACACACACACCCCCCAGGUCACUGUCGUCUCUCCCAAACGAUGGGAUCACAAAGAGUCAGACACGACUUAGCAACUAACACACACACACACACACACACACACACACACACACACACACACACACACACACACACACACACACACCCAGGUCACUGUCGUCUCUCCCAAACGAUGGGAUCACAAAGAGUCAGACACGACUUAGCAACUAACACACACACACACACACACACACACACACACCCCAGUCGUCUCUCCCAAACGAUGGGAUCACAAAGAGUCAGACACGACUUAGCAACUAACACACACACACACACACACACACACACACACACACACACACACACCCCCAGGUCACUGUCGUCUCUCCCAAACGAUGGGAUCACAAAGAGUCAGACACGACUUAGCAACUAACACACACACACACACACACACACACACACACACACACACACCCCAGGUCACUGUCGUCUCUCCCAAACGAUGGGAUCACAAAGAGUCAGACACGACUUAGCAACUAACACACACACACACACACACACACACACACACACCCCCAGGUCACUGUCGUCUCUCCCAAACGAUGGGAUCACAAAGAGUCAGACACGACUUAGCAACUAACACACACACACACACACAC